CUAGAUAGUAAAAGUUUAUUAAAUGAGACAAUCUCUAAAUACAUUUAUAUAUAUAUACAUGGCCAAGGUAAAUACAUUUAUCAUAAUACAUAGCAACAGUAAACAUAAACAUUUACUGCAAGUAAAACUUUUUUUUUUUCAACUAGACUAAUAUAGAAUGUUUGCACAAAAGGUCAACUCCAAAAAAAAAAUAAUUCUUGUACGAUAUGCAUUAUGUCAAGCUUGUAUAUUCCAAAAAAAAAAAAAACAUGCUUGUAAGA